UACGUAGGGCGCAAGCGUUAUCCGGAAUUAUUGGGCGUAAAGAGCUCGUAGGCGGUUUGUCGCGUCUGCCGUGAAAGUCCGGGGCUCAACCCCGGAUCUGCCGUGCGGACUGGUUUGCUAGAGCACUGUAGAGGCGAGUGGAAUUCCGGGUGUAGCGGUGGAAUGCGUAGAGAUCCGGAAGAACACCGGUGGCGAAGGCGGCUCGCUGGGCAGUGGCUGACGCUGAGGCGCGACAGCGUGGGGAGCAAACAGG
rnacentral:rRNA from 1 species